rnacentral:rRNA from 1 species
CACCGCGGUUAUACGAGAGACCCCAGUUGUUAAACGCCGGCGUAAAGAGUGGUUAAGGAGGACUUCAGAAUAAAGCCGAACGCUUUCAGAGCUGUUAUACGUAUCCGAAAGUAAGAAGUUCAACCACGAAGGUGGCUUUACAAUAUAGCCUGACCCCACGAAAGCUAUGACA